GAUGAACGCUGGCGGCGUGCCUAAUACAUGCAAGUCGAGCGAACGGACGAGAAGCUUGCUUCUCUGAUGUUAGCGGCGGACGGGUGAGUAACACGUGGAUAACCUACCUAUAAGACUGGGAUAACUUCGGGAAACCGGAGCUAAUACCGGAUAAUAUUUUGAACCGCAUGGUUCAAAAGUGAAAGACGGUCUUGCUGUCACUUAUAGAUGGAUCCGCGCUGCAUUAGCUAGUUGGUAAGGUAACGGCUUACCAAGGCAACGAUGCAUAGCCGACCUGAGAGGGUGAUCGGCCACACUGGAACUGAGACACGGUCCAGACUCCUACGGGAGGCAGCAGUAGGGAAUCUUCAGCAAUGGGCGAAAGCCUGACGGAGCAACGCCGCGUGAGUGAUGAAGGUCUUCGGAUCGUAAAACUCUGUUAUUAGGGAAGAACAUAUGUGUAAGUAACUGUGCACAUCUUGACGGUACCUAAUCAGAAAGCCACGGCUAACUACGUG
rnacentral:rRNA from 1 species